rnacentral:rRNA from 1 species
CUACCCGGGUAUCUAAUCCUGUUUGCUACCCACGCUUUCGUGCCUCAGCGUCAGUCGUGGUCCAGUAAGCCGUCUACACCGCAGGUGUUCCUCCUGAUAUCUACGCAUUUCACCGCUACACCAGGAAUUCCGCUUACCUCUCCCACACUCAAGCCCUCCAGUUUUCGGCGCACCCUCCCAGUUGAGCCGGGAGAUUUCACACCAAACUUAGAGGACCGCCUACGCACUCUUUACGCCCAGUAACUCCGAACAACGCUUGCUGCCUACGUAUUACCGCGGCUGCUGGCAC